UACGUAGGUGGCAAGCGUUGUCCGGAAUCAUUGGGCGUAAAGAGCGUGUAGGCGGUCUGGUAAGUCGGCUGUGAAAGUCCAGGGCUCAACCCUGGGAUGCCGGUCGAUACUGCCGGACUAGAGUUCGGAAGAGGCGAGUGGAAUUCCCGGUGUAGCGGUGAAAUGCGCAGAUAUCGGGAGGAACACCUAUGGCGAAGGCAGCUCGCUGGGACAUUACUGACGCUGAGACGCGAAAGCGUGGGGAGCAAACAGG
rnacentral:rRNA from 1 species